rnacentral:lncRNA from 1 species
ACAAAUCAAUAACAAUAAAUAAAUGAUUUAAUGAAGUCUACGGUUCAUCAAUCACUUGUAGUAGCAAGCGACUAGCAAGCAAAAAUGGAAGAUACAAUCUGAACCAUUAAUUCAGCAGAUAAUAACACUAAAUCAAGAACACUAAGUGAAGAUUACGGCUCAUUAGAUCCAUUGGCAGUUUACACAAUUGAUACUUGACCAAGAGUGUAGAAAGCCUUCUUUCUCUCUCAAUUUUGCCUUUUGUGUGUGUGUGCAUGUGUGUAGAUUGUGAAGAUUUGGAGCUGUAAAUUUGCAGCAAGUUGCAAAGGCUUGGAUCAAAGAAGCAGCUACCAGUAAAAGCUUCAUAGCAGGCUCAGGGAUGGCCAAUCAAGGUAUUGAAUACACAUCUCUCUCUCAAGCGUGUGUUUGAAAGGAUUUGCAAGAUCAUGGGGUUUUGAAUGAAAAUCAUUUCAGCAGUGAACGGCUUGGUUUCUACUUAGGGGUGGGCAAAAUUGGGUUCGGAUCAAUCCGAUUAGGUUCUAGGUUGUUCUGGUUAGGUAAAAAUUAAUCCGAAUGAAAUCCGAACUUAUAACCCGAUCCGAUCUGAUAUAUAUUCAGGUCGGAUUAAAUCGGGUCAAAAAAUCGGAUUGAAUUCGGAUGAGUUCGGGUUCGGAUAAGAGACCGGCCAAAGUCUUCAAAUGGGCAAAGCUUCAAUUUCAAAACUCAAAAGUCUCAAAACUCAAAAGGGGUCGGGUUGGAGGCUUAGAGCAAAAUCAGGUAUUCAGGUUACACUUGCAGUUGCUGUCAAGUUGGAGGCUUGGUGCAGUAGAUCAAUGGCACUUGGGAGCAGAUUGGUGGUCGACUGGCCGCGGACGCACAACAGCAAAUUGCAGACCCGUAACAAAUCGAGAUCGAGCAUGAAGAGGGGUCUUUCUUCUAGUCUAGAAUGAGAAGUUGCUGGUGCUUAGAGAUGAGAAGUUCAGCGAGGGAGAUGGUUGUGGGUUCGUGGCUGUGGCUGUCGGCGGCGUGAUGUGAGGGUAACUAGGUGAAGCCGUGAAGCUGUGUUGGGUCUUGUUCUCUUGGGUGUGUACUGUGUUGUGUGUGUGUUUUGUGUAAUACGUAUGUGAUCUGGGUUCUUUUGCUUCUUUGUCCAUGAUUUUUGUGUUUGUGAUGUGUAUGUGACUGUGUUUUGUGAAUCUGUCUGUGAUUUGUGUCAUUAUGUGUGUGGCUUGCGUGGGUUAGGUUUUUUUUUUUUUUUUUUAAAGUAACCCGAUCAGGUUUUCGGAUUGGAUCGGGUCAUAACCCGAUCGGGUUUAAAAGAUUUCAUCCGAUCAGAUAUUAUUAACAACCCGAUCCUAUCUAAACCAAAAACUUUUUGGGUCGGUUCAGGUCGGAUCAGGUAUUUUACCCACUCUUAUUUCUACUUCAAUAUGGUAUGUACUUACAAACAAGUAAAUUAAUAAGGGAAAUUAUCCCUCAAAGCAAUGAUUAUGAUAGUUCUAGAAGCUCAAAGUAAAAUAAAAAGGUACAAGUGUAAGAGUGAUGCUAUGCUUUCUCAGUUGAGAUAAUUUAUAUUGCAACGGAUGUGUCACCAGCAAAAAAAAUUCUUUAUUUGAAUUAGAAAUGAUAAAAAUUAAUAAUUAACUGUCACUCCAGCCAAUUAAAUAGUGAUGCAUCAUUUAUCAUAUCAGUAUCCCAACUAAGUAAGGAUAACAUUACUAUAAAUAGUGAUAUAUCAUUUAUCAUAUCAGUAUCCCAACUAAAUGCAAAGCACCUAAAUGAAUCCUCUCACACAAUGUAAGGCUUUAUAUAGCCCAUUAUGAGAUCUAGAAAGAUCUUUGUUUGUUAGCUUGAUUUUAGGUUGUUAUUUUCCUGCCAAUACCAACGACCUUAACCAUGUUUGACUGGUUUAGUGCUUUAUUACUAAAUUAAGCUUCUCACAAUGACAUUUUUUUUAUGGAGGAUGAGAAAAUGAAUGCAACACAUAACAACCGAUAUUCUCGUUUGCUUAUCAAUCCAGAUUUGAGAUAACACUUUCAGCACUAAAUCUGAGCACCAAAUGACUUUCAAAAUAAUAACAUAUUGUAAGGAGCUUUGUAAGAUCUUAAUCGUAGAUUAAACAAUGGAUAUCUUAGUAUUACAAAAUUUACUAAAAUUUGGAUGUUGACAAGCUGACUCUGCCUUUAUCCCCAAUAAAAUGGUGUUGUGUUUUACAAUUUAUUUACCAACUUUCAUCUCUCUAUCUUUAAUUUCUAAGUGAUGAUACAGCCACAAACUCUUGUACAAAUUUAUCUUGUACAAAUUAAUUUGGCAUUAAUUCAUUGGUUGAAUGAAAAUACAAAAUAAUAAAAAUAAAUCAUGUGGACCAAGAGAUAUUU